rnacentral:rRNA from 1 species
AACGAACGCUGGCGGUAUGCUUAACACAUGCAAGUCGAACGAACAAAAUUGGGGCUUGCUCCAAUUUUAGUGAGUGGCAAACGGGUGAGUAACACGUGGGAAUCUACCUAUCAGUACGGAAUAACAUUUGGAAACAGAUGCUAAUACCGUAUAUUCUCCAAGGAGGAAAGAUUUAUCGCUGAUAGAUGAGCCCGCGUAAGAUUAGGUAGUUGGUAGGGUAAUGGCCUACCAAGCCGACGAUCUUUAGCUGGUCUGAGAGGAUGAUCAGCCACACUGGGACUGAGACACGGCCCAGACUCCUACGGAGGCAGCAGUGGGGAAUAUUGGACAAUGGGCGAAAGCCUGAUCCAGCAAUACCGCGUGAAUGAUGAAGGCCUUAGGGUUGUAAAGUUCUUUACCAGGGAUGAUAAUGACAGUACCUGGAGAAUAAGCUCCGGCUAACUCCGUGCCAGCAGCCGCGGUAAAGUGACUACU